rnacentral:rRNA from 1 species
AGAGUUUGAUCAUGGCUCAGGAUGAACGCUGGCGGCGUGCUUAACACAUGCAAGUCGAACGGGGAUACGCGCUGAAGAAGCUUCGGCGGAUUCUUGCGUAUCUUAGUGGCGGACGGGUGAGUAACGCGUGGGUAACCUGCCUUGUACUGGGGGAUAACAGUUGGAAACGACUGCUAAUACCGCAUAAGCGCCCGGUAUCGCAUGAUACGGAGUGAAAAACUGAGGUGGUACAAGAUGGACCCGCGUCUGAUUAGCUGGUUGGUGGGGUAACGGCCCACCAAGGCGACGAUCAGUAGCCGGCCUGAGAGGGUGAACGGCCACAUUGGGACUGAGACACGGCCCAAACUCCUACGGGAGGCAGCAGUGGGGAAUAUUGCACAAUGGGGGAAACCCUGAUGCAGCGACGCCGCGUGAGUGAAGAAGUAUUUCGGUACGUAAAGCUCUAUCAGCAGGGAAGAAAAUGACGGUACCUGACUAAGAAGCCCCGGCUAACUACGUGCCAGCAGCCGCGGUAAUACGUAGGGGGCAAGCGUUAUCCGGAUUUACUGGGUGUAAAGGGAGCGUAGACGGUAUGGCAAGUCUGAAGUGAAAACCCGAGGCUCAACCCCGGGACUGCUUUGGAAACUGUCAAACUGGAGUGCAGGAGAGGUAAGUGGAAUUCCUAGUGUAGCGGUGAAAUGCGUAGAUAUUAGGAGGAACACCAGUGGCGAAGGCGGCUUACUGGACUGUAACUGACGUUGGGGCUCGAAAGCGUGGGGAGCAAACAGGAUUAGAUACCCUGGUAGUCCACGCCGUAAACG